GUUAUUAAGGGCGCACGGUGGAUGCCUUGGCACUAGAAGCCGAUGAAGGACGUUACUAACGACGAUAUGCUUUGGGUAGCUGUAAGUAAGCGUUGAUCCAGAGAUUUCCGAAUGGGGGAACCCAGCAUGAGUUAUGUCAUGUUAUCGACAUGUGAAUUCAUAGCAUGUCAGAAGGCAGACCCGGAGAACUGAAACAUCUUAGUACCCGGAGGAAGAGAAAGAAAAAUCGAUUCCCUGAGUAGCGGCGAGCGAAACGGGAAGAGCCCAAACCAACAAGCUUGCUUGUUGGGGUUGUAGGACACUCUAUACGGAGUUACAAAAGAACUGUUAGACGAAUCAUCUGGAAAGAUGAAUCAAAGAAGGUAAUAAUCCUGUAGUCGAAAACAUAUUCUCUCUUGAGUGGAUCCUGAGUACGACGGAGCACGUGAAAUUCCGUCGGAAUCUGGGAGGACCAUCUCCUAAGGCUAAAUACUCUCUAGUGACCGAUAGUGAACCAGUACCGUGAGGGAAAGGUGAAAAGUACCCCGGAAGGGGAGUGAAAGAGAACUUGAAACCGUGUGCUUACAAGUAGUCAGAGCCCGUUAAUGGGUGAUGGCGUGCCUUUUGUAGAAUGAACCGGCGAGUUACGAUCUGAUGCAAGGU
rnacentral:rRNA from 1 species